AGAGUUUGAUUCUGGCUCAGGAUGAACGCUAGCUACAGGCUUAACACAUGCAAGUCGAGAGGCAGCAUAUCGAAAGCUUGCUUUGAUGAUGGCGACCGGCGCACGGGUGAGUAACGCGUAUCCAACCUUCCCUAUACUAGAGGAUAGCCCGGCGAAAGUCGGAUUAAUACUCUAUGUUCUUCGUAGAAGACAUCUGAAAUGAAGCAAAGGUUUACCGGUAUAGGAUGGGGGAUGCGUCUGAUUAGGUUGUUGGCGGGGUAACGGCCCACCAAGCCUACGAUCAGUAGGGGUUCUGAGAGGAAGGUCCCCCACAUUGGAACUGAGACACGGUCCAAACUCCUACGGGAGGCAGCAGUGAGGAAUAUUGGUCAAUGGACGAGAGUCUGAACCAGCCAAGUAGCGUGCCAGGAUGGCGGCCCUAUGGGUUGUAAACUGCUUUUAUACAGGGAUAAAGUGACGUACGUGUACGUUAUUGUAGGUACUGUAUGAAUAAGGACCGGCUAAUUCCGUGCCAGCAGCGGC
rnacentral:rRNA from 1 species